CCUACGGGUGGCAGCAGUAGGGAAUCUUCCACAAUGGGCGAAAGCCUGAUGGAGCAACGCCGCGUGGGUGAAGAAGGUCUUCGGAUCGUAAAACCCUGUUGUUAGAGAAGAAAGUGCGUGAGAGUAACUGUUCACGUAUCGACGGUAUCAAACCAGAAAGCCACGGCUAACUACGUGCCAGCAGCCGCGGGAAUACGUAGGUGGCAAGCGUUAUCCGGAUUGAUGGGGCGUAAAGGGAACGCAGGCGGUCUUUUAAGUAUGAUGUGAAAGCCUUCGGCUUAACCGUAGUAGUGCAUUGGAUACUGGGAGACUUGAGUGCAUAAGAGGAGAGUGGAACUCCAUGUGUAGCGGUGAAAUGCGUAGAUAUAUGGAAGAACACCAAUGGCGAAAGCGGCUCUCUGAUCUGUAACUGACACUGAGGUUCGAAAGCGUGGGUAGCAAACAGGAUUAGAUACCCUUGUAGUC
rnacentral:rRNA from 1 species